AUGGCGGACAAAGGGUUUGACAUU
rnacentral:miRNA from 1 species